rnacentral:sRNA from 1 species
UUGCAUUAGGGAUUGCAGCGGCAUCCUUUUUAUUUUGUUCCUUGAGCUGUCAUACUGAGCGGAGUCGAAGUGCUCAAGGAACAAAAUAAAAAGAUAUAGCGGAAAGCCCGACCUGUA